AUGGUAUGAAGGGGAAGGUUAAGGACCCUAUGGUAUGUGGGAGGUUAAGGGUCCUAUGGUAGAGGGUGGUUAAAGGCCCUAUGGUAUGAGGGAGGUUCAGGGCCCUAUGGUAUGUGGGAGGUUAAGGGCCCUAUGGUAUGAGGGAGGUUCAGGGGCCCUAUGGUAUGUGGGAGGUUCAGGGCCCUAUGGUAUGUGGGAGGUUAAAAGUCCUAAUGUAUGAAGGAGGUUCAGGGCCUAUGGUAUGUGGGGAGGUUAAGGGCCCUAUGGUAUGUGGGAGGUUCAGGGUCCUAUGGUAUGAGGGAGGUUAAGGGCCCUAUGGUAUGUGGGAGGUUAAAAGUCCUAUGGUAUGUGGGAGGUUAAAAGUCCUAAUGUAUGAGGGAGGUUCAGGGUCCUAUGGUAUGAGGGAAGUUAAUGGCCCUGUGCUAUGAGGGAGGUUAAGGGCCAUAUGGUAUGAGGGAGGUUAAGGGCCCUAUGGGAUGAGGGAGGUUAAGGGCCCUAUGGUAUGUGGGAGGUUAAAAGUCCUAAUGUAUGAGGGAGGUUCAGGGCCCUAUGGUAUGUGGGAGGUUAAAAGUCCUAAUGUAUGAGGGAGGUUCAGGGUCCUAUGGUAUGAGGGAGGUUAAGGGCCCUAUGGUAUGAGGGAGGUUAAGGGCCAUAUGGUAUGAGGGAGGUUAAGGGCCCUAUGGGAUGAGGGAGGUUAAGGGCCCUAUGGGAUGAGGGAGGUUAAGGGCCCUAUGGUAUGUGGGAGGUUAAAAGUCCUAAUGUAUGAGGGAGGUUCAGGGCCCUAUGGUAUGAGGGAGGUUAAGGGCCCUAUGGUAUGAGGGAGGUUAAAAGUCCUAAUGUCUGAGGGAGGUUAAGGACCAUUCUGUGUGAGGGGAGGUUGAAGGCAGUGGUGGUUUGUGUUAAAAUGUAUAAAGAGGGUUGCAGUUUUAAAAAAUUUGCCGCAAAAAAAAUAUUUACCUUAGAGUCCAGUUUGUGAGUUAAGUUGGUGUUAAUACUCUGGGGCCUGGGUAUUACUUGAAAAUAUAUUCCAUCUGGUAGCUCUUUGAUGUAGCGAAGUGAUGAGUAACUUUUUUUUAUUUAAGUCCGUUAUUACUGUGGACAUUUUAUUUUCACUGGAUACCAUUGUUAAAGCAGGUAAUCUGUCCCUCACCAUGAUAUUCCACAAGAAAGUUAUUAUUGGUGUUAUCAUUACAGUGGUUCCUCGGUUAACGAGCACAAUCCGUUCUAGAAGGUUGCUCGUUAAC